AACGCACAUUGCACCUUUUGGUAUUCCGAAAGGUAUACUUGUUCGAGCGCCGUUUUAACAAUUCAAGCUCUAUUUUUGCUUGGUGUUGAAUUGGUUGCUUUAGGGAAACCAUUUCGAAACUCUUAGGCAUUGAAAUUUUGAAUCUAAAAAGCGUGACAAACCUCGUUAUAGAUUUGGGAUAUGCAAUUGCCUGUCUAUUUUCUGAAAUGAUGGCCUCGGAUCAAGUAAGGUUACCCGCUGAACUUAA
rnacentral:misc_RNA from 1 species